ACCUAUUUAAGACUCUAUAUUACAGAACAUAAGGAUAUUUAUCCUUAUUUACAAAAUAUACCAACUUAAUUACAAAACAUAACGGAUUUGAAAAAAUAAAAAACCCACCCUUCCCCCCUUUUCCCCGUUCUCCGUAUUAAUAGAUCCCCCACUCUUCCUUCUUUUUCCAAUUCUUAGUUUCAUACAGAUCCAAAAACCCACCCUUCUACCUUUUCCCUAUUCUCUGAUUAAUAGAUCCCCACCCCUCACCCCUUCUCUAAUUCUUCGUUUCACACAGAUCCCCACCCUUUCCCCCUUUUGCCUAUUCUCCAUAUCAUGCAGAUCUCCACCCUCCUUCCCCCUCCCGCGCCCCCUCUCAUUUUCCUAUUCUUUGUUUCUUACAGAUCCACAUCCUUCCCUUCGAACGUGGGAUGCGAUUUUGAUAGAUGGGCCACGUGAAUUUUUCUCUGUCGCUCUGGAAAAGGAUCAAGGUGAUAUACACUGCCGGUAAUUUGACAAAAUUGUGAAAUUGGUAUUUUUUUCAGAUCUGCAGUUUUCUAGAUCCGUGUUCUUCAACUGGUGUGAAAUGGCAAAACAGGGAAAAUUUGUGCUAAACAAAGAAUUGGAAAAAGGGGAUCUGUAUGAUGCGGAGAAUAGGGAAAAGGGGGAUCUGUAUGAUAUGGAGAUUCAAAUUUGUAUUAAAAUUGUAUGAUAGUUGUAUGGCGAGUUUGUAUGAAAAUUGUAUAUUAAGUUUUCUAUGUUGUUGUUGUUGUUGUAUUAAAUUAAAUUCAUAUGAAUAUUGUAUGAAUCUU